rnacentral:lncRNA from 10 species
GCCAGCACCCACAGCAUUUAUGAUCUUUGAGGCCACAGUAGAGCAGCAGCACAGAAGGGUGACUAUAGUCAAUAACAAUUUAAUUGCAUAUUUAAAAAUAACUAAAACAAUAUAAUCGGAUUGUUUGUGGCACAAAGGAUAAAUGCUUGAGGGGAUGGGUGCCCCAGUCUCCAUGAUGUGCUUUUUCACAUUGCAUGUCUGUAUCAAAACAUCUCAUGUACCCCACAAAUAUAUACACCUACUCUGUGCCCAUGAUAAUUAAAAAUAAAAAUAAAAAAUUUUUAAUCAGGAAACACUGAUCAUGACCUGUCCUCCCCAGUUCCCUCCCUUCCUGUGUCACAAACCAGGAACCAAAAGGUCUCUGCUCCCCUUACCCUGGCCUGGGUGGCACAGGCCUGUCCUUCCUCUAGCUCUGUCCCUUCUCCCUGCCCUGUUGUCCCCUCAUUCUUCCCCCAAAAUACACUCAAGCCCUCUCUCCUUCAAGGCAGCUGGCAAAUUUUCAAAGUACCUCAAGUUUCUGAUGUAAAACCAGGUUUUCCUUCUGGACAAAAGGAGUGGGGAAGAAAACUGUACUUCUAUUCCUAAGAGAGGGUCUCAGGCCCUUAGAGAGGAAAAGAUUCUGUACUAAAGAUAAUACUGGAAAAAAAUCAACCCAGGGCAGUCACCCGUAGAGCAGAGGUUCUAAUGCUGGCCUCAUACUCAGACCACCAAGGUGGCUCUGGCCCGUCUCCAGGCCCAGGUGUCUUCAAACAGCAGGUGUUUCAGAUGCACAGCCAAGGCUGAGAGGCAUUGUGCUGGAUGUUGGGUCCAGUCUUCUGGGGGCCUACAAGGGGUGAUUAAGUUCCCCUGUCUACCUCAAAAUGUUCUAAUGUUUGUAGAGUUGCUUACUGGGCCAUCUGCAUUACCAAGGAACAGCGAACCAGAAGGCUGAAGUGGCCGACAGUCUGGUUUUAUGAGCCCCCAGGGGAUGUGCCCGGAACUUUGAGAACCAUUGACCUUUACUAACAAGGUAAGGGACAGUGACACAGGAGAGCUUAUCAGACUGAAAACCUGUGAAGUCGUUUCACAUUUCAUCAGCAGUUUAACAGUGACAGGUACUUGUAAAAAGCUCACAAGGUUGAUCUGAGGACUUCACUGGAUCAGUGCCUCCCUAACUUCUGGGUGUUUAGUGUGCGUGCACGUCAUCUGGAGAGCUGCGGAAAAUCCCCAGGAGUGGAUCAUCCAGGGAAGGCCAUGGAAAUCCCCGGGAGUGGACCCAUUCAGAAGGGCGUGAGCUUCCAUGUCCCUAACCUGCUCCCAGGAAAGGCCGUGGAAAUCCCCAGGAGUGGACCCAUUCAGAAGAGGGAGGCACUGAGCAGACGCCUGGUUGGAUCCCCUGCAAACGUGCCCACACUCCACUUUCUAGGAGGCACUGAGCCGACGCCUGGUUGGAUCCCCUGCAAACAUGCCCACACUCCACUUUCUAGGAGGCACUGAGCUGACGCCUGGUUGGAUCCCCUGCAAACGUGCCCACACUCCUCUUUCUAGGAGGCACUGAGCCGGCGCCUGGUUGGAUCUCCUGCAGCACUUCACCUCUCCCUGGGCCUCAGAUUCCUUAUUUGGAAAAUGAGAACAACUUUGCGAGACUGCUAUGGAUGCCAACACCACAUCCGGCACAGGCGUGGAGGUCUGGGCAGCAGCCUGGGGCUCUCUGGGCCUAACUCUACCUUCCAUUCCCUCUGCCCACUCCUUCUUGUCCCUUCUGGUCUCUGUCCUCAUGGCUCUAGACACUAGUCCCUGUCAGAUGUGCUAGAAGGACCUGAGACAAAUUGAUGGCAGCAAUCUGUUUUGUAACAAUAAAUUGCUAGAACAAUAAAACACAGCCUGGGCACAUCAGAUGCAUGCAAAGGUGUGUAUGCAAAGGACACACCAUUGAGGGCGUUCUCUCCUUCUUUAACACCUUUCCCAAGUUAGGGGGCGGGGGGCAGGUUAACACAAAGCACUCAGAGCAGUGCCUGACCUGCGAAGCACUCCUGCAUGGCAGACUCUGUCUUUACUCUGCUGUGGCCCCCUCCAGCGCUGGUGCAAGCACUGGCCCUGUUCCCAGCCCGGCAGUGCUGUGGAGGUACCUGCAAAGCUGGCGUUCUGCUGUUUUCUCAUGGAGUCAUCAUGGUCAAGUACCAGAGCCUUGUAACCUGAAGUUAUCUUGCUAGGGAAAUACAAAAACGUUUUUUAGGAUGUUGCGCUCGUAAAUCAUCACCAUUCAUUUCCUACAUCAGGAUGGGGAGGUCUCUUGUACAUAAAUGAAUUCACAUAGCCAUGUUCCAGUAACACCAGAUACAAAAGGCCUUGGCCUGACCUCAGCCCAUGAUGGUCCCCUAGAAGAAUAAGAGGCAAACUGGUUGUUGUAAGCCAGGGAGAUUUGCCAUUUGUCACUGCAGUAUCACCUCAUUAUCCUGACCUAUAUGAUUAACCACAGACAUGUACACCCCUUCACUGGACACCCCGCAACUGGCUACCAGAAACCCUAGAGAUAAACAUUUGGCUCACGGUGUAACAGAGGCAUCAGCCUUUAUGUGUGGUGUACACUUUGUAACCUAAUUUCUGGCUCCCUUUUUUUUUUCUCUCUCCUACUCAUACCAUCAUGUGGGGUUUUGUCUAUCCUUACAAAUUGCCUUAAAUUCUUUCUUCUUAGUUUAACUGGCCUGAGGUAGUGGCCUCCCCAUCCUGAUAUAGGAAAUAAGAGUGUAGAGUAUAAACAAAUAAUUUCCUAGAUCUCAAAAGAAAAAUCUUGCUUCUGCCAUUUGAUGACUUAUACACAGCUUAGUCCCAGAGCACAAAUGAAAAGAAAAACAAGGGAGUCAGCAUCUUGCAGCAGCAUCUCCUACUGUCCUUACCCCACACAGUGCACAUGCAGCUUUCUGGGUAGUG